CCCUUCGGGGCUUUUUGGUGAUUCAUGAUAACUUUACGGAUCGCAUAGCCUUGCGCUGGCGACGGUUCAUUCAAAUUUCUGCCCUAUCAACUUUCGAUGGUAAGGUAUUGGCUUACCAUGGUUUCAACGGGUAACGGGGAAUUAGGGUUCGAUUCCGGAGAGGGAGCCUGAGAAACGGCUACCACAUCCAAGGAAGGCAGCAGGCGCGCAAAUUACCCAAUCCCGACACGGGGAGGUAGUGACAAUAAAUACUGAUACAGGGCUCUUUUGGGUCUUGUAAUUGGAAUGAGUACAAUUUAAACCUCUUAACGAGGAACAAUUGGAGGGCAAGUCUGGUGCCAGCAGCCGCGGUAAUUCCAGCUCCAAUAGCGUAUAUUAAAGUUGUUGCAGUUAAAAAGCUCGUAGUUGAAACUUGGGCCUGGCUGGCGGGUCCGCCUCACCGCGUGCACUCGUCCGGCCGGGCCUUCCUUCUGAAGAACCUCAUGCCCUUCACUGGGCGUGCUGGGGAAUCAGGACUUUUACUUUGAAAAAAUUAGAGUGUUCAAAGCAGGCCUUUGCUCGAAUACGUUAGCAUGGAAUAAUAAAAUAGGGCGUGCGUUUCUAUUUUGUUGGUUUCUAGAGACGCCGCAAUGAUUAACAGGAACAGUCGGGGGCAUCAGUAUUCAGUUGUCAGAGGUGAAAUUCUUGGAUUUACUG
rnacentral:rRNA from 1 species